rnacentral:rRNA from 1 species
GGGAAUUUUGGACAAUGGGCGCAAGCCUGAUCCAGCAAUGCCGCGUGAGUGAAGAAGGCCUUCGGGUUGUAAGGCUCUUUUGUCAGGGAAGAAACGGUUCCGGCUAAUAUCCGGAAUCAAUGACGGUACCUGAAGAAUAAGCACCGGCUAACUACGUGCCAGCAGCCGCGGUAAUACGUAGGGUGCAAGCGUUAAUCGGAAUUACUGGGCGUAAAGCGUGCGCAGGCGGUUUUGUAAGUCUGUCGUGAAAUCCCCGGGCUCAACCUGGGAGUUGCGAUGGAGACUGCAAGGCUAGAAUCUGGCAGAGGGGGGUAGAAUUCCACGUGUAGCAGUGAAAUGCGUAGAGAUGUGGAGGAACACCGAUGGCGAAGGCAGCCCCCUGGGUCAAGAUUGACGCUCAUGCACGAAAGCGUGGGGAGCAAACAGGAUUAGAUACCCUGGUAGUCCACGCCCUAAACGAUGUCUACUAGUUGUCGGGUUUUAAUUAACUUGGUAACGCAGCUAACGCGUGAAGUAGACCGCCUGGG